AUGGGGAGGCUGCGGAAAGUAUCUCACAAGGAUGUACCACUAGUCCCUUCUCUUGAGAGUGCAGAUUCUCAGCAUGAUAUGUUUGUGCCUAAUGAUUUCGCAGAUGAUUGUUCUAAUCCUAUGUCGUUGGUAUUUAUUUAUUUUUCUUCCCUAGUAUUUAUUGAUUUGAACUAUUUCUUUUCAUUUUUAAAUUUUAUGUGUAUGUUCACUUUAUCUUUUUCUUUUCAGGAAAUCUCUAGUGAUGAUGGAGGGCUUGACAAAGCUCUAUUUGACUUCUAUAUGGACCAUAAAGUUAAAUGUUUGAAGAGGAGGUUAUCAUCUGCUGCAAGAAGAAACGUGAGGCUGAAGCGGUCUACUGAUUUGCCUGUCUGUUCCACUUUCACUAGAAAUUCUGGGAAGUUUUUCUCAGGUGUUGUCGAUGGUUUGCGUCCACGGUACAAGGAUGUCAUUGAGAAUUAUGGCAUGGGCUGUCUUCUUAGUUUCGUUAGGACUGAGGUCCCUCUUAGGCUUGUCAAGUGA
rnacentral:rRNA from 1 species